CCCCCCGAGGGACCCAAAGCUGCCCCAAAAUGCACAGGGAGGGGGGUGUGUAGAAUACUACAUCCUGUCAAGUGCUUCGUUUUUAUAGGUAUUGGUAAAAAUAGGAAUUUGUCUCUAAAUUCAUUUGGAAAGAAAGCCAGAGCAGCCCCAGGUGUGAACUGUGAGGAUAAGGAGGGGCCGGCUCCUGCCGGCGGCUGUUUUAGGGGCUUUGCCUCAGCUGAUUUUACAGGGAGCUGCUGGAGAAGAGGAGUUUAUGGGCGGCUCCUGGGGCUGUCCUUGCAGGGACGGUGACAGCUUCGGACAGGGUCUGCGGGAUCACCUGGAUACGCACUUGGAUACCUGGAGCAUUGCUCAGAGGAGGUGCCGAGGAACAAACCUUUGUGCCGGGUAGCGGCAGCCAAACAGGGGAUGAAACUGAAGGGGAGAACACAUUUAUUUGCCCUUGUUGAAGUGAGGCGAGCACCUGAGUGUGGCGUAAGUUCCGGGGGUUGAAUUGAAGGAGGCUGCAGCUCUCGCAGCGUUUGAAGGGUUGGAAUCGGGCUGUGCCGCUGCAUUGGAGGGCGCUUCUUCUGCCCCUGGCCCGGCAGCCAAGGCUGUGGCGCGGGAGCUGCUGGCGUUGCCUGGGGAGCUGCCGAGAAGUGUUGCACACACACUUGUAUUUCAUUAUGGAAAUGAAGCAAGGAAGCUGGAGAAUAAUCAGUAUGAAAAUCAGGGGCCUGGCUUCUCAUUUAUGUUGAAACAAGCAAAACUUUUCACCUGCUUGCUUUCCAUCCAGCAAACGGCUGGACUCUAGCUGAGCCUCACAACAGCAGCUUGAAUCCCAAAAUCCGGAUGAAGCCCCAAGUCUGGGGAUUUGGGAAGCAAGGAUUCCAGUGCCAAGUUUCCUUUCCUCUGCCUGGAAUUCCUUCUACCAUCGUCAUUCUGCUGAGCCAGGAGCAGUUCUGCUGCUGAGGACUGAUCUGUACAGAGCCAGCUGAAGUUCUGGAGUCAGUCUUGUUUCCCCGGCAGAUGCUAUUCAUGGAUACAACCAAGAGUAAAAGCAGUAGGGCAGCUCUGUUUGUUCUUAAGUGCCUCAGAAGUGACUCUUUUUAGGAAUCUACACAUGGUCAAACUUGACUUUUGUCUCUAUCAGAGCGAGAACCUACACUUUUUCUUUGGAGACUGCUGUAUCCAGUGGUUUUGUCUGUUUUCUUGGUCAAAAUCUCUGAG